rnacentral:rRNA from 1 species
GGCUCAGAACGAACGCUGGCGGCAGGCUUAACACAUGCAAGUCGAACGCCCCGCAAGGGGAGUGGCAGACGGGUGAGUAACGCGUGGGAAUCUACCGUGCCCUGCGGAAUAGCUCCGGGAAACUGGAAUUAAUACCGCAUACGCCCUACGGGGGAAAGAUUUAUCGGGGUAUGAUGAGCCCGCGUUGGAUUAGCUAGUUGGUGGGGUAAAGGCCUACCAAGGCGACGAUCCAUAGCUGGUCUGAGAGGAUGAUCAGCCACAUUGGGACUGAGACACGGCCCAAACUCCUACGGGAGGCAGCAGUGGGGAAUAUUGGACAAUGGGCGCAAGCCUGAUCCAGCCAUGCCGCGUGAGUGAUGAAGGCCUUAGGGUUGUAAAGCUCUUCACCGGAGAAGAUAAUGACG